rnacentral:rRNA from 1 species
AAGACCUUGCACUUUUGGAGCGGCCGAUGUCUGAUUAGCUAGUUGGUGGGGUAAAGGCCUACCAAAGCUUCGAUCAGUAGCUGGUCUGAGAGGACGGCCAGCCACACUGGGACUGAGACACGGCCCAGACUCCUACGGGAGGCAGCAGUGGGGAAUUUUGGACAAUGGGCGCAAGCCUGAUCCAGCCAUGCCGCGUGAGUGAAGAAGGCCUUCGGGUUGUAAAGCUCUUUCAGCCGGAAAGAAAAGGCUGCGACUAAUAAUCGCAGUUCAUGACGGUACCGGAAGAAGAAGCACCGGCUAACUACGUGCCAGCAGCCGCGGUAAUACGUAGGGUGCGAGCGUUAAUCGGAAUUACUGGGCGUAAAGGGUGCGCAGGCGGUUUUGUAAGUCAGAUGUGAAAUCCCCGGGCUUAACCUGGGAACU